UACAGAGGGGGCAAGCGUUGUUCGGAAUUAUUGGGCGUAAAGCGCGCGCAGGCGGUCCUUUAAGUCUGAUGUGAAAGCCCACGGCUCAACCGUGGAGGGUCAUUGGAAACUGGGGGACUUGAGUGCAGAAGAGGAAAGCGGAAUUCCACGUGUAGCGGUGAAAUGCGUAGAGAUGUGGAGGAACACCAGUGGCGAAGGCGGCUUUCUGGUCUGUAACUGACGCUGAGGCGCGAAAGCGUGGGGAGCAAACAGG
rnacentral:rRNA from 1 species